GCACAUGCGCAGAAUCAUCGUGGUGCACGGCUCUCCCUUUGCUUCUUCGGUUGCAGUCCUCUUGCUUCUUGCGCGUGCGUGUAGCGCUUUUGCAAAGCCGCGGAGGUGAAGUGAACUUAGAGGCUGUGGGGCCGAGGGGUCCUCUUAUAGCUACCAGCCCACAGGCAUUUAGUCUACGUUGGAGGUAAACAAAUACGGGUCCAGCUUAGGAGAAAAGAAAAACGUCUUACAGCCAGUGUCUAAACUCCAAACAACGGAAUGUAUCAAUGAGACCUUGUAUAUGGAUACACGUGCAUUUAAAACCGCCCUGCCGGCUUGUAGAGCUCUUGCCGUUCUCCAGCGCUUUACAGGGGUUAUCGCACUUCAGCCUCGGAACAACUUUACCAGAUGAGGACACCUGAGGCUCAGAUUAAGAAAUCUGCCCCAAAGUCUUAGAACUGGUAUUCUCCACUGGUUGAAUGCAAAUGGAAGCCAGAGGAAAAGGGAACCCUUGACACAGUUUUCAUAUAGAUUGGCCUCCAGAGCAGACAGCAGGAGGGGGGUUUAAUCUGGACUGAAUUGGAGGAAAGGAACUGGCACCAGAGUGGAGGCUGGAAGGAUGGUGGAACUGACACUGGGACAGAACACAGAAAACAGAAUCUAAUGCUAUUGCUCUGGCUAUAUCAAAUAAAAGUGUCAAGAGUGAGCAUCCUUGCCUUGUGCUGAAUCACAAAGGAAUACCUUUCAGUUUUUCUCCAUUGAUUAUGAUAGCAGUGGGCUUUUCACAGUGGGCUUUAUUGUGUUGAGAUGGAAAUUUGAAUGCUGGGGCUCAGUGGAACACCUGAAGGAAGCUGGUGAGGCAGAUGUCCCGCUAUGCCUUCCAAGUGUCAUGCAACCAGUUCAUGCCUGUCAGCAUCUCUGCCGGUGGACUCUGUGAGUCAGCAAAUCUACAGAGCAGAGAGCCACAAGUGGGGACAGAUGUGGUCAAAUGCCAUUUAAAUCAGUGAUUCUCAACCCAGGAGUUGUCAUGGCACUGGCCUUGAGUGAGCUGGACCAAGGGAAGUGGUAGAAUUCCCCAUGAAGGACCAAGUAAGCAGAUAGAACUUUCUCCAUUUUAACUUUUUCUGAGUCAAUUUAAAAAACACCUAGUGCCUUUUUCUGU
rnacentral:lncRNA from 1 species